CUACGUAGCUCAGAGUUUGAUCCUGGCUCAGGAUGAACGCUAGCGGCAGGCUUAACACAUGCAAGUCGAGGGGCAGCAUGAGACGGAGAUUCGUCGAAGUCUUGAUGGCGACCGGCGCAAGGGUGCGUAACGCGUGAGCAACUUGCCCGUUUCAGGGGGAUAACCGGUGGAAACGCCGACUAAUACCCCAUGGUGAUGUUGUGAGGCAUCUCAUUACAUCUAAAGAACUUCGGAAACGGAUAGGCUCGCGUGACAUUAGCUAGAUGGCGGGGUAACGGCCCACCAUGGCGACGAUGCCUAGGGGUUCUGAGAGGAAGGUCCCCCACACUGGAACUGAGACACGGUCCAG
rnacentral:rRNA from 1 species